rnacentral:misc_RNA from 1 species
GAUGAAGAACGUAGCGAAAUGCGAUAAGUAAUGUGAAUUGCAGAAUUCAGUGAAUCAUCGAAUCUUUGAACGCACAUUGCGCCCGUCAGUAUUCUGGCGGGCAUGCCUGUUCGAGCGUCAUUACGCCCCUCAAGUCCCCUGUGGACUUGGUGUUGGGGAUCGGCGAGGCUGGUUUUCCAGCACAGCCGUCCCUUAAAUUAAUUGGCGGUCUCGCCGUGGCCCUCCUCUGCGCAGUAGUAAAACACUCGCAACAGGAGCCCGGCGCGGUCCACUGCCGUAAAACCCCCCAACUUUUUAUAGUUGACCUCGAAUCAGGUAGGACUACCCGCUGAACUUAAGCAUCUCAAUAAGCGGAGGA